rnacentral:rRNA from 1 species
UACGUAGGGGGCAAGCGUUGUCCGGAAUCAUUGGGCGUAAAGAGCGUGUAGGCGGCCCGAUAAGUCCGCUGUGAAAGUCCAGGGCUCAACCCUGGAAUGCCGGUGGAUACUGUCGGGCUCGAGUUCGGAAGAGGUGAGUGGAAUUCCUGGUGUAGCGGUGAAAUGCGCAGAUAUCAGGAGGAACACCAAUGGCGAAGGCAGCUCACUGGGACGAUACUGUCGCUGAGACGCGAAAGCGUGGGGAGCAAACAGG